GGAGCUGCCCCUAGUACGAGAGGACCGGGGUGGACGGACCACUGGUGUAUCAGCUGUCUACCAAAGGCAUAGCUGGGUAGCCAAGUCUGGACUGGAUAAACGCUGAAGGCAUCUAAGCGUGAAGCCAACCUCAAGAUGAGAUAUCCCCUCCUUUGAGGAGAUAAGAUCCCUUGUAGAGUACAAGGUAAAUAGGGCAGAGGUGGAAGUGCAGUAAUGCAUGUAGCUGACUGUUACUAAUCGAUCGAAGGCUUGACCU
rnacentral:rRNA from 1 species